UAAACGACUCUCGGCAACGGAUAUCUCGGCUCUCGCAUCGAUGAGAACGUAGCGAAAUGCGAUACUUGGUGUGAAUUGCAGAAUCCCGUGAACCAUCGAGUCUUUGAACGCAAGUUGCGCCCGAAGCCAUUAGGCCGAGGGCACGUCUGCCUGGGCGUCACACGUCGUUGCCCCCCCCAACCCCCUCGGGAGUUGGGAUGGGACGGAUGAUGGCCUCCCGUGUGCUCAGUCACGCGGUUGGCAUAAAUACCAA
rnacentral:rRNA from 1 species